AUCCAGACUCCUACGGGAGGCAGCAGUGGGGAAUAUUGCACAAUGGGCGCAAGCCUGAUGCAGCCAUGCCGCGUGUAUGAAGAAGGCCUUCGGGUUGUAAAGUACUUUCAGCGGGGAGGAAGGCGAUAAGGUUAAUAACCUUGUCGAUUGACGUUACCCGCAGAAGAAGCACCGGCUAACUCCGUGCCAGCAGCCGCGGUAAUACGGAGGGUGCAAGCGUUAAUCGGAAUUACUGGGCGUAAAGCGCACGCAGGCGGUCUGUCAAGUCGGAUGUGAAAUCCCCGGGCUCAACCUGGGAACUGCAUUCGAAACUGGCAGGCUGGAGUCUUGUAGAGGGGGGUAGAAUUCCAGGUGUAGCGGUGAAAUGCGUAGAGAUCUGGAGGAAUACCGGUGGCGAAGGCGGCUUACUGGACUGUAACUGACGUUGAGGCUCGAAAGCGUGGGGAGCAAACAGGAUUAGAUACCCUCGUA
rnacentral:rRNA from 1 species